rnacentral:lncRNA from 1 species
GGGAGAUUGCUGCUCCAUUAAGUUGUCUUAGCCGAUAACUUUCUGGCUUAAUGACUUCCUCCACUUGGUAUGGGCCCUCCCUAUUUGGGGCCAAUUUACCUCGCUCUCCUGGUUGGGAUACUUCCGUCUUGCAUAGCACUAGAUCGUCAACUUUGAAGAUCUUGUUUCAGACUUUGGUAUUGUAAUACCAGACAACCUUUUGUUGAUAAGCUGCCAUUCGAAUGUACGUCUUUUUUCUGGCUUCUUCGAG